UACGGAAGGCAGCAGUGGGGAAUAUUGCACAAUGGGCGAAAGCCUGAUGCAGCUAUGCCGCGUGUAUGAAGAAGGCCUUAGGGUUGUAAAGUACUUUCAUCGGGGAGGAAAAACAAAACUAAUAAUUUUAUUUCUUGACGUUACCCGAAAAAGAAGCACCGGCUAACUUCCGUGCCAGCAGCCGCGGUAAUACGGAGGGUGCUAGCGUUAAUCAGAAUUACUGGGCGUAAAGAGCACGUAGGUGGUUUUUUUAAGUCAGAUGUGAAUCCCUGGGCUUAACCUAGGAACUGCAUUUUGAAACUGAAAUACUAGAGUAUCGUAGAGGGAGGUAGAAUUCUAGGUGUAGCGGUGAAAUGCGUAGAUAUCUGGAGGAAUACCUGUGGCGAAAGCGGCCUCCUAAACGAAUACUGACACUGAGGUGCGAAAGCGUGGGGAGCAAACAGGGAUUAGAUCC
rnacentral:rRNA from 1 species